rnacentral:lncRNA from 1 species
CUAGCUUGAUGGCCCUCUCUAGCUCAGUUGGUAGAGCAUGGCACUUUAGCACAACUUAACUCCUGUAAGGCUGUCAAACAUGUCCAAUCACCAUCCAGUUGUCCAUGUUUCAUAAUCAUGUAUAGCUUCUGCUUCUUUGAAAAAAGGACUCAGCCAUUAGUGUCUAUUGGUUGACUUAGCCAACCACCUGGGGGGGAAAAAAAAGCGACCAGACAAUGCACAUCGAGACAGAACCUUCUCCAACUUUUUCCUGGACUAUCAGCUUAUCAUAUAACAAGGUGUGGGGGAUGGGUAGUGGGGUGAGCUGCUGGAGAGUUCCGCCAGUGCCUGCAUCUGCUGUUCCAUUGAGGACUGCAUUGAACUUGUUGUCUAUGCUGCCAAACUAACCCUGAUUCAGAUGACCAUCCUACCCAUGCUAGAUUACGGAGACAUGAUUUAUAGAUCGGCAGGUAAGGGAGCUCUCAAGCGGCUAGAUGUUCUUCACCAUUCGGCCAUCAGAUUUGCCACCAAUGAUCCUUAUAGAACACAUCACUGCACUCUGUACUCCUCUGUAAACUGGUCAACUCUGUCGCAAGACCCACUGGUUGAUGCUUAUUUAUAAAACCCUCUUAGGCCUCACUCCCCCCUAUCUGAGAUAUCUACUGCAGCCCUCAUUCUCCACAUACAACACCCGUUCUGCCAGUCACAUUCUGUUAAAUGUCCCCAAAGCACACACAUCCCUUGGUCGCUCCUCUUUUCAGUUCGCUGCAGCUAGCGACUGGAACGAGCUGCAACAAACACUCAAACUGGACAGUUUUAUCUCAAUCUCUUCAUUCAAAGACUCAAUCAUGGACACUCCUACUGACAGUUGUGGCUGCUUUGUAUGAUGUAUUGUUAUCUCUACAUUCUUGACAUUCGUGCUGUUGACUUUGCCCAAUAAUGUUUGCACCAUCUUUUUGUGCUGCUCCCAUGUUGUGUUGCUACCAUAUUGUGUUGCUACCAUGCUGUGUUGUCAUGUUUUGCUGCCUAAUGUUGUUGUCUUUAUGUAGUGUUGUGUCUCUCUUGUUG